rnacentral:rRNA from 1 species
GACGAACGCUGGCGGCGUGCUUAACACAUGCAAGUCGAACGGAAAGGCCCUGCUUUUGUGGGGUGCUCGAGUGGCGAACGGGUGAGUAACACGUGAGUAACCUGCCCUUGACUUUGGGAUAACUUCAGGAAACUGGGGCUAAUACCGGAUAGGAGCUCCUGCUGCAUGGUGGGGGUUGGAAAGUUUCGGCGGUUGGGGAUGGACUCGCGGCUUAUCGGCUUGUUGGUGGGGUAGUGGCUUACCAAGGCUUUGACGGGUAGCCGGCCUGAGAGGGUGACCGGCCACAUUGGGACUGAGAUACGGCCCAGACUCCUACGGGAGGCAGCAGUGGGGAAUAUUGCACAAUGGGCGGAAGCCUGAUGCAGCAACGCCGCGUGCGGGAUGACGGCCUUCGGGUUGUAAACCGCUUUCGCCUGUGACGAAGCGUGAGUGACGGUAUGGGUAAAGAAGCACCGGCUAACUACGUG